CAGGAAAAGCAACUUUGGAUACAGAAGCCAACUGUGGAGCAAGUCAGCAUUGUUUUAAGAGCACAUUUAAAGUAUACCUACCCGCAAAUGUCAGACUACUACCUGGAAUUGACAUCCUGCUGUAAAUCCUGGCCCACCUGUCACUCUGAGGAGGACUUACGACUCCAGGAGCACAAGAUCUCAGAAAGGCACGGAGUGUAUCCCGACAAACAGACUGCAUCUAGAACUCCCACAUGGACUUCGAUAACACAUGCAAGUUGCUUGAAUUGAUCGUACUGUAAACUUUCUGCUAGUUAACUCCAGAGAUGGUGCUGUUUGACCAAAGCAAAAGGAGUACCAUGCCAGCGUGCUUGUCCCGCAUUUGUCUAGCUCUACAGUGCUGGCAUUUAUCAAGAGAAGACACACAGCACAGCCUUGCAUAAGCUUGGCACUGGGACAAGUACAGCUGAGGUGGUUGCCAGGAAGGCUCCACUGAAGUCAAAGGAAUUGCACCAUGGAGGGGACAACGAGGCUGUUGCUGCCUUGGCAUACAGAAGACUUGGAGAAGAUGCACAGGCUAAUACUUUACUUGCCUUCUGUUGCCUCUCUUCUUUAAUAUACUCAGGUUUGUGUGAAACAAUUUCAUUAAAGCAUGUGCUGAA